rnacentral:lncRNA from 1 species
ACUUGCUUGUAGUCAAACAGAAGGCAGAGCUGCGAAUCAAAUCCAGGUUUGUCUCGACAUGCCACUAGCUCAUACUUCCCUUGGAUCAGCCACUAAAUGGCUUUCACUCCAGUGAGCAGCGACCAGCACCAGAAUUAUGGAACAUUUAUCAACAGCCUAAAAUAAAGACAACACGAGGAGAAUUUGGUUGCUUAUAUAGAUUCAAGGUACAAUCCUGCUGGAUUCUGGGAUUACAGGACUGUAGACAAAAGAGAAAUCAUCAUGGACUGUUCACUGGACAAAAUUUCAUGGAGAGGAGAAGACCUUUGGCGGUUCAUGGAUGUUCUAUAAUAAGUUAGGUAACUAACAGGCUAACUUUCUUGAGCACCUACACUGUGUAGGGCACUGUACUGGUACUUCUCAUACCUUCUCUCAUUCAUAUAAUCCUCUGAGGUAGGUGUUAUCCUCUCUACAGCAGGGAAAAUCAAUACCCAGAGAAGGGGAGAGACGUCCAUGGCACACAGGAGAGGACAGAGCCAAGAAUGAAUAUAGGACACCAGUGCCCCAACUCUUAACCACUACCAUACACGGUUUUAUAAAGUAAAUUUUAAAAGUCGACUUUAAAACAUGUAUGCAACAUUGUGUCCAGUCUCCCAAAACAAAAGAACAAUGAGCGUUCCCUUUUCCCUUGAUGUGUGGGCAGGUCUGUAGAGUAGUACAAGAAGAGAUUAUGUUCUGCAUUCUCACUUCAACAAGAAAGUCCUGGUCCACCAAUAAUACCUUUAAGCUUCAGGAUAAUUGUGAAAAGGCC